UUAUUAUUUGAUGCUGUCAAAAAUAAACGAGCGAGAGAAUGUGAGAUUGUUUCUGUCAAGAGGAACAUGUUUAAAGCACUCGAGUACAACAGAGCGUAUGAGUUAUACAUGUCGCAAACGCGUAUGAAGAGCACCUUCUCCGUAAUGGAAGCCGAUUUGAAGAUUAUUGCCCUGACUGGAAAAGCGUUCGGCGAACAUGAGAAGCGCCUGGAGGCCGACCACAGUAUCCUGCGAUGCCACAAAACCACCUUUGGGAUUUCGCUGGUCCAUCAGCCAGUUCAAGACGGGCAGGGCAUCGCCCACCAAGUUAUUUUCCAGUAGAGCCAAGGCGGCGUAAGCGGAGAUCUCGAUGUUGACGCUACGAGUGGCAUUAUACCAGGGUGACUGCUGCUCACCAGCGGGCGCCGUUUUAUUCCACCACUUGAGUCCAUCUGGAAGAUAGUUGCACUAUUACAGCCAGGGUCACAAAUGCAGUCAGACUGAUGCCAUCGUCGCCAAAUCUCUCGAAUACGUCGCCACGCUCCUCGAAGCCACCGUUUGCUGACUGAACACUUCCCAAAUAGGUUAGUGCCUUUUGCAGGACAUUGCUAUCC